rnacentral:rRNA from 1 species
GACGUAGGGCGCGAGCGUUGUCCGGAUUUAUUGGGCGUAAAGAGCUCGUAGGCGGCUUGUCGCGUCGGAUGUGAAAGCCCGGGGCUUAACUCCGGGUCUGCAUUCGAUACGGGCAGGCUAGAGUGUGGUAGGGGAGAUCGGAAUUCCUGGUGUAGCGGUGAAAUGCGCAGAUAUCAGGAGGAACACCGAUGGCGAAGGCAGCUCGCUGGGACGGUACUGACGCUGAGGCGCGAAAGCGUGGGGAGCAAACAGG